rnacentral:misc_RNA from 1 species
GCGAAGUAAAAAAUAUGUAAAAUUUGAGAAGAGACCUUCGGAUUUUAAGCAUGGGCAGCGGUGGCCACAACAAAUCAAUGCUCACCACUCUAUACCCAGCUCUCUGGAGAGAAACAGGUCUUCAAUGUAGAGAAUAACAGGAGCAGAAGUUGUGAUGUAACUCUGCAUUUGAACCCUCGCUGAAGCCUCGUCUUCAUUAAGCUUCUUCAUGAGCUGUGUUCUGGUUGGGAGUGCAUACAUUCCUGCAG